UACAGAGGGUGCAAGCGUUGUUCGGAAUUAUUGGGCGUAAAGGGUGCGUAGGCGGUUUGGUAAGUCUUGUGUGAAAUCUCCAGGCUCAACUUGGAGUCUGCACGAGAAACUGCCGGGCUUGAGUGUGGGAGAGGUGAGUGGAAUUCCUGGUGUAGCGGUGAAAUGCGUAGAUAUCAGGAGGAACACCUGUGGCGAAAGCGGCUCACUGGACCACAACUGACGCUGAUGCACGAAAGCUAGGGGAGCAAACAGG
rnacentral:rRNA from 1 species